CUAUGUUAACUGAUGAUGAUUAAUUGAAACAGUAAUAGGAAAUUGUGUUCUUCUGUUCUUGUAGAUUUGGUACUGGUUGUUUGUUAAACCAAACAUAGAAAAUAGUGGAAUUUCUACGCUAGUGGAACAGAAGCACCAGAAAUGUUUCCACUAUACUGUUACUGUAUACAACUGUUCUAUUCUAUGUAGGCAACAGGAGCAGAAUGACAUUAAAUAUUCAGGUAUAUAGGUUUAAGUGUUUGGUAGGACUCUGUGUUCUAAUGCAUUAACAAGAUGCAACAAACUAAUGUAAUGGACAUAUUUCUGAUUGUGUACUGUGCAGUUGCAACUAAUCUUCUCAAGGAGAAUUCACUGACAGGUACAGGACACUUGAAAGCAAUUCAGUGAUAGAGGACCGGUUGGACCCAGAGAGACUGAGUUUGGCUGAAAGGAUUGUGAGGUGGGGUGAGAUAAGAUGGAUCUCUUACACACACACACACACACACACGGACUGUCCCACAGCUGCAUGCAGAUUCUACUUCCGGGGUGCAGUGCGUCUACAAUAAUGCCUAGUUCCUGACAGCUGGACUAAUUCUAGUCCUGAUUAUUCUGCCAUAAGAUGAAGAAGGCAAACCCCAACCCACGGGGGGAGCUAAGGAAAGCUCCGGUUCUGGACAACAUUUGCUGGGAUGCGGAAGACCAACUGCACAACAUCAUGCCCCGCUGGUUGGGUCCAUACCAGAGUUCUGAUCGAUGAAAUUGCCAUCACAGUAGCUGAGAGAGGAACCUGGGGUCGACGCCACACACGCUACAGGAGGACUUCAAUGCACUGUGCCAAAGAUUUGGCACAGUGAAUUGAAGUCACUGAGGGAAAAGUGAGCUUUUUGGUGCUAGUAACCAUCACUUCCGACCAGGCCUGCAGCUAUAGAGUUCUUAGACAAAACUGUUCAUCUUGGCAUUCACAAAGGAGAACACAGAUUCCCCUGACCUGGCUGAUAAAGCAGCUAUAAUGGAGACAACAAGAGUUGUGUCAUUGUAACCUACAUUUCAACUAUGAAGGACAACACUUUGGAAUAAACAUUUUUCCAUCUGUUACAUCGGUCUGCCAAGAAAUGGUUCAUAACUGACUGUCUGAUGUUUGAAGGAGCAGAAUAUUUGUUAUGACUUUGGAAGUACAUCAUAUGGGAACCACGAGAGGACUUUUCAGUGAAUCAAGAAAUUGACAUAAGAUGUCUUUGUACUGGUAACAAAUUGAAGGAUGAUUGGUGUUUACACACCCACGUGUCGAUGCUACAUAUACCAUACUGUCAGUAUAUAUGUCACCUGAAAUUACUUCCUUACUCCCUCUCUACCCACAUAUGCACCAGGGUUUGACGGGUCGUAGUAAAUACUUUUUAAAAACUGUUAAGACAUCGUAGAGCAUUGGCUCAAUAACUAGAAGUAAUACAUGUUUAACAUUGUUUUAUUUGAAUCUUUGGAAUUACACGUCAUCCGUGAAUUUCAGAAAAGCUACACAAAACAUUCAGAUUUCUGCUGAUAAGAAAAUCUAUAAACAUACAAUAGGUGCCCAAUUUUAAAGUCUUUGUUGUCAGCAUUUAAAAAUGUCAGACGUUUAUACAAGAAGUUGUUUAGAUCAUUUGAUUCAACAACGUUUGACAACUAUUGCGGGCAGUCAUCAGAUGUGUUCAUGACCGUUUCCAUAUGCUUGUUCAGAUUAUUAAAUGACUUUAUACUGACAUGGUCUUAGUUAUUAAAAAGUCUACAACCA
ensembl:lncRNA